GGCCGAAGUAGGCGGCCUGGAGCCGGCGCCGUCCCAGGUGGGGCAGGGCGAUCCGGUCGAUGUCGGCGAGUUCGAGCUCCGCCUCGGCCA
rnacentral:tRNA from 1 species